rnacentral:tRNA from 1 species
GUUUGUCUAGCUUAGUUGGUAGAGUGCAAGGCUUUUAAUCUUGUGGUCCUAGGUUCAAAUCCUAAGGUGGGCG